rnacentral:rRNA from 1 species
GGCGCACGGGUGCGUAACACGUAUGCAACCUACCUUUAACUGGGGUAUAGCUCAGAGAAAUCUGAAUUAAUCCCCCAUAACACUACGACAUGGCAUCAUGAUGUAGUUAAAGCUCCGGCGGUUAAGGAUGGGCAUGCGGUACAUUAGCUAGUUGGUGAGGUAAUGGCUCACCAAGGCUACGAUGUAUAGGGGGUCUGAGAGGAUGAUCCCCCACACUGGUACUGAGACACGGACCAGACUCCUACGGGAGGCAGCAGUAGGGAAUAUUGGUCAAUGGACGAAAGUCUGAACCAGCCAUGCCGCGUGAAGGAUGAAGGCCCUCUGGGUCGUAAACUUCUUUUAUUAGGGAAGAAACCUCAGGAUGCGUCCUGAGCUGACGGUACUUAAUGAAUAAGGAUCGGCUAACUUCGUGCCAGCAGCCGCGGUAAGACGAAGGAUCCAAGCGUUGUCCGGAUUUACUGGGUUUAAAGGGUGCGUAGGCGGAAAAUUAAGUCAGUGGUGAAAGCCCGCAGCUCAACUGUGGAACUGCCAUUGAAACUGGUUUUCUUGAAUAUAGCUGAGGCAGAUGGAAUAUAACAUGUAGCGGUGAAAUGCUUAGAUAUGUUAUAGAACACCGAUUGCGAAGGCAGUCUGCUAAACUAUUAUUGACGCUGAGGCACGAAAGCGUGGGGAGCGAACAGGAUUAGAUACCCUGGUAGUCCACGCCCUAAACGUUGAUUACUCGCUGUUGGCGAUAUACUGUCAGUGGCUAAGCGAAAGCAUUAAGUAAUCCACCUGGGAAGUACGACCGCAAGGUUGAAACUCAAAGGAAUUGACGGGGGCCCGCACAAGCGGAGGAGCAUGUGGUU